rnacentral:RNase_P_RNA from 1 species
CCGGGCGGUCCGUCGCGGGCGAAGUCCCUUUCGGGAAUCGCAUGAGGAAAGUCCGGGCAACAAAGAGCGCCAUACUUCCUAACGGGAAGCCGCGGGUGACCGCAGAGGCAACGUGACAGAAAAUUACCGCCCCAGCAAAAGGCGGGGGAGCAUCAUCAUGAUGCGCUAUCACCCCCCGGGGCAAGGGUGAAAAGGUGGGGUAAGAGCCCACCGGGCUUCGCCGUGAGGCAGAGCGCCGCACGCCUUAUGGGUUGCAAGGUCAAGUAUACCGGCAUUUAAGGGUUGCUCGCCCAUUGCCGGGGGGUAGACCGCUUUAGCCGUGUGGCGACGCACGGCAUAGAUAAAUGACGGACGGACGCCGGUUUCCUCUUCAUUGAGGCGGAGCGUCUACAUAACCCGGCUUAUAGCCCGGCUGA